GACAUUCCAGCUUCAUUUUGGAGUGACCAUUCCUAAAAGCAAAAAGACAGCAGUGACUCUGGACCACUUUUUCUGCUGAGAUCAAUUGUCUGCUACAAUGAUGGAUGUUUCUUUACUUUGGACUAAGCUGAAAUUCCUGUCUCGUUUCUUGUCUCUGAAGAGCAUGAAGGUCUAAGAGAAAUGUCAGGAAUCAGGAGAUGCAGAAUGAAAGGAGGAACCAGAACUCUGCACAUGAAAGGCAACUAUGGUUCUGUUGGAGUAACUUGGGCACGUGUUACUGGAGUGUGGGAGUUGACAGCUGCGGACUCUUCAUGACAGAUAGUAGGGGAAGUUCUUCUGAUUUGAACCCAUGUGAAAGCUCCUUUGAAUCUGAGUAUGAGUCAGAGCAGCUUGAGGAUGCCACAGUUCUCUACGAACCUCGUGGGAUUUGCUGCCUGGCCACCCUGGCCUCACACUCCCUGGUGGCUUUACUGUCCUCUAGAGCAGAAGAGGUGGACUCCAGUGAAUAGGAUCUUUUACCUAUAAGAUCCUGUGAAGAUAGACUAGCUUGUCUGAGGUGCACAGGUCUGAAAUAUCUUGUCCCAUUGAUGUUGUGUUUGAAUCAAAGCAUAAAAAAAUCAACUUAGUGUUGGUGUUCAUUGGUAGAGAUACUUCAUCAGAGAGCUACAUACAGAGAGCUUUAGUUUCUGUUAGAAAUUCUUUAUUCUUAGAAAUAAAGGAAAAAUCCAGCUCUAUCUCAGUAUGCUACACCUUAUUGCCAUAGGGAUCUUCCCUUAUUUAGGAAGGUAGUAGAGGGCACCUGUGAACUCACAGAUGACAACAUAUUCUGUGAAAUGUUUCUUUAAACAAAAUCUUUUAAAAAUGUGGAUACUGACAAAACACAAGAAAUUACAGAAUUUUUACAGAAAUAUAUUUAAAACUAAUGUGAAAAGGAAUAUGUGUAAUGGUUGCACAGUUGCUGCCUUUCUCUGAUUAAAAAAGAUAUCUUUCC
rnacentral:lncRNA from 7 species